AUUAAUAACAUUAAUUACAUGCCCUAAGAAAAAAAAAAAAAAAUACCGCACAAGGAUAACUCGUCGCCGGGUUUUGAAUGCUCGCUGCUGGCUUAAAAAUUUUCGACGUGGAAGCCUCAGUUUGCUCGGCCACGCCACCUCGCUGAAAGACAAUCGCAUAUCCGUGAUAAAGUCUCGCAAUCCAAACUUUAUAUUGUAAUUUCUCAUAAAUAAAGACCCAUUGGCACAAAUCCCAAUUAGGGUGUUGAUGCUUAACAUCGCAGCUAGCGAACGUGCUAUGUCUCGUUCAGAAAUCGAUUUAGAAGGUUGUGGCAUCUCCUUGUAAGAUUAGGAGCCUCCCAUUUUUUAAAUAAAAUACCAUUUUCAAUAAUUAAACUUUUCCAAAGAGAAACAUAGAUCUUAACUGAAAUUCUUGUCUAAAAUUUCCUCCCUCAAAGGACGUCGACCAGACUCAACUCCACGUAAAAUCACCGAAACACUAGUGUCUUCCAUUUGUUUUUUCCACCAAUCUAUUUGACUCUUUUCCCAAAAUUAUUUGAGCUACAACUUUAUCACUAUUCCCUUUACCAGAUUCAAUCCUAGAAUAGUAUUUACAGUACCUUCUUCAAUACAAGGAUGUCUUGUAAGGCCAUCCGCUUUCUUAUGAGAUAAACUCUUACGAUGACAAAUCUCAAAAUUAUAACAUUGAAGCUUCUCAAUUUAACGAGCUAAUUGACCUUCAAUUUCCUUAAAAGAUAAAAACCAUUUAAGAGAAGCAUGAUCAAAAACCGUUCUUAUCAAAAACUUUUGAUCAUACAAUGAUUAAAAAAUUUAACAGACUCUACCACAGUUAACAAUUCCCGACGAGUUGUACAGUAAUUUCUUUCAGUUUUAUUUAAAACACGGCUAAAAUAAGCAAUAAUUUUUUCUUGAUUUUGCUGAAUUUGAGAUAAAACUGCACCGAUAUCAAAAUUCGAAGCAUUAGUAUCAAGAAUAAACUCACCCCGUUCUAAAGGAAAAGAUAAUACUGCAGAGAUAGUCAGAGCUUGCUUCAAACUUUCAAAAGCUUCCUGACAAAGAUGAGACAAAACAAAUUUUGAUUGAUUUUCUGUAAGAACAAAUAAGGGUUUAGCAAUAAUAGAAAAACCUAUAACAAAUUUCCGAUAAUAGGAACAAAAUCCAAGAAAACUACGUAGCUGUUUCUUAGUCCGAGGAAUCAGCCAAUCAGACAGCAAAAAAUUUUUUCCGUAGAAACACUUUUUUCAGAAAUAACAUGACCCAAAUAUCUAACCGAAUUAUUUAAAAGAACACAUUUCUUAGGGUUCAACUUCAAACCGGAAGUACGAAAUUUAAGAAAAACGGUUUUUAAAUGUUCAACCAUUUUUUCAAAAGUUUACCCAAACUAUCACAUCGUCUAAAUAAACCAAACAUAUUUCAUAUAAUAAUUUUUGCAAAAUUCAUUUCAUAAGUCUCUCAAAAGUAGCCGAAGCGUUAUACAAACCCAUUGGUAAAACCGUGAAUUGCCAUAACCCUUUUCCAAUUGAGAAAGCCAUUUUUUUCUUUAUUUUCUGGAUGAAUUUUCACCUGCCAAUAAUCACUUUUUAAAUCUAGAGUCGAAAACCAAGAAUUCCCAGACAAUUGAUCGAUAGUGUCAUCAAUGCGAGGAAUGGGAAAAGAAUAUUUUACUGUGACCGCAUUAAACUUACGAAAAUCUACAUAACAACGAAUAGAAUUAUCCUUUUUCUAAACUGCCGGUGAAACCCAAGGACUCUGAGACUCCUCAAUAACAUCCUUGUACCUCAUCUCCUCAAUAAUUCUAUCCGCCUCAGCACAUAAAUGCAAUGGAAUUCGAUGAGGAAUCUGCUUAAUGGGACGAGAAUCAACUAACUUAAUCCUAUGCUCUAAAAGUUCGCAACUUUCAGCCACAAUUUCAUCUGAGAAAACAUUCUGAAAUUCAAUUAACAUUCCCGCAAAAAUUUCUUUCUGUUGAAAAUUCAAAUUUUCUGAAUCCCAUUCGAAUAACUCCAAUAAAAACGCAGGCAUUUUGUUUUUUUGAAUAAUCCGCUUACAAGCAAAAUCUUUUUGAAACUCCUCCGUACAAGAAAUUCCCAGCGCCGAAUAAAAACAAGACUCUAGAUUUGUCAAAGAUAGAAAAUUUUUCCCCAAAAGACAAUCAUCCUCCAUAUCAAUGACAAACAUAGACAAAUCCUUCAAAACUUUUCCUGACGUUUACUAUAAUCUGACAGAGAAUGGGAACUACUUCACCCGGAGGAUAAACCAAACGAUUACUAAUUGAAGAAAAUAUCUCUGAAGUUUCGACAAAUUAUCUAUUAACAAUGGAAACAUCUGAGCCCGUAUCUAACUUAAAUCUACAAAAUUCUCCAUUCAAAAGUCCGUCGUAACAAAAAGUAUCUCGUUUCAUCCAACUUUCAACAAAAUUAAUCGAGGAUUUGUUUCUUUCUGUCGAAACGGUCCUGUUCCAUUCGACAAAAUUUAGUUUUUUCUUUGUUUUCCAGAAAUAUCAACUAAAGCUGGGCAUUCUGCCCGAAAAUGCGAAUGACUACCACAAUGCCAGCAUUUUCUGUCAUUAUUUUUUUCCGUAAACAAAUCCCUUUUUGAAUAAAAAGAAUUCCCUUCUUUCUUAAAAAUUUUCUCAAAAUUUUCUUUAUUUUUUCUGAAAUCUUUUUUUCUGAAAAACUUGCUUUAAAAUUCUUCUUAUCUUUCGAAUCAAAUUUAAAAUUUUCCUUAAAACGAGGAAAAUUACUUUCCCGAACGUUUUUAAUAAUAAUCUUAACUAUAAUCUUAAUAAUAAUCUUUCUAUUGCUUCCCUUAAAGAAAUAACAUUUUUUAAUGGGAGAGUUUGUUUAACGAAACUAUCUGAUAAUCCGACUAAAAACUGCGCACAAGCAAUCUUUUCCCUUAAUUCAAAAGAGCACUCUGGAUACGCUUUUAAAACUAGACGUUCCAACUCCGAACCGAAAGAAACAAAACCUUCCCCUACCCUCUGCCUUCUGUUAGAAAGUAGGGUAUAAAAAUUUUGGAACGAUUCUAGCUCUCCAAAACGCAAUUCCAAACGCGAACAAAUUUCUUUAAAAUCUAAAUUUUCUUUGGUCCCUUUGGAGGUUUGUGUUAUUCUAAGUGAUCUUUCGCUCGCGGGGAGGGUAUAAUAUAAAUAUGUGACUCGUACCUUUUUAAAUGAACAUUUAUUUUGUGUCACGUUUUUUACAUGUGUGUGUGUGUGUGUGUGCGAGUCUUUUUAAGGUGCGACGGGCCGCGGAAUUUAGCGCGUUUCUAUGCGGGCUCUUCUCCUUUCUCCAGGCCCUCCUUCGCCUGGGAGUCCGGCGGAAGUAUCUUAGUUCUCCUUGUCAGAAUGAAGCCCGUCUCUAAGAGUGAAUCGGUCGUCCUACGUGUGAGUUGCCGUAGGCCAAGGUUGAGAUAGGUGGCCAUGUCAACGGCCGCUGCGGGAAGUGUAUCCGCUGCAGCCUCCACGUGGUGACGGUUCCUGCCGUGGAGGUGGUCGGUGCUGAAGACUUGGGCGACUCCCAGUAAAGCGGCGAGGGGGUCAGUUCCCGCGUGGGUGACGGAGUGUGUGGUCGUGGAGAACGACCCGUCAGUGCCCCUUGUGCCGUCUGCCCUACUAGAGGUUCAGCAAACUAUGCAUCCGUUCUGGUGUCCACCGUUUAACUAUUUCUUCAUGCGCAAGACUCCAUAUGUGACUCGACGUGCUGUAUUAUAUAUAGAACAUUUAUUUUUAUAUAGAAACAUUUAUUUUUUAUUACAGAAUUUUAUUCUGCGUAAAGAAACAAACAACUUUUGUUUAAAAAAUUUUUUCAAACUAAAAUAUUUCUUUCGAAAAUGCUUAUUUUUCGAAAAAAUUUAGGGAUCCGGAACUUUUUGUACACCCUGUAUAUCCGUUUCGUGUCAAAGAGUGUUCUUUAACUCCUUGAGUUUAUUUUUUAUGUUGUUCUAGUCACAGGUUGUGAAGAGUUUGUACUUUAGAGAAUCGAGGAUUAACAAUUUUUAUGAUAAAUACUGAUAUGAUGUGA